rnacentral:tRNA from 1 species
GGCUCUGUGGUGUAAUGGAUAGCACAUUGGACUUCUAGCCAAGCUCUUGAGAAGGAAUCCAAAGGUUGUGGGUUCAACCCCCACCAGAGUCA